UACAGAGGUCCCGAGCGUUGUUCGGAUUCACUGGGCGUAAAGGGUGCGUAGGUGGUGAGGUAAGUCGGAUGUGAAAUCUCCGGGCUCAACCCGGAAAUGGCAUUGGAAACUACCUUGCUUGAGGAUUUGAGGGGGGAUUGGAAUACUUGGUGUAGCAGUGAAAUGCGUAGAUAUCAAGUGGAACACCAGUGGCGAAGGCGAGUCCCUGGACAACUCCUGACACUGAGGCACGAAAGCUAGGGGAGCAAACAGG
rnacentral:rRNA from 1 species